GACGAACGCUGGCGGCGUGCUUAACACAUGCAAGUCGAACGGAAAGGCCCCUUUGGGGGUACUCGAGUGGCGAACGGGUGAGUAACACGUGAGUAACCUGCCCUUGACUUCGGGAUAACUUCAGGAAACUGGGGCUAAUACCGGAUAGGAAUCCUUGCUGCAUGGUGGGGGUUGGAAAGCUUCGGCGGUUUUGGAUGGACUCGCGGCUUAUCAGCUUGUUGGUGGGGUAGUGGCUUACCAAGGCUUUGACGGGUAGCCGGCCUGAGAGGGCGACCGGCCACAUUGGGACUGAGAUACGGCCCAGACGCCUACGGGAGGCAGCAGUGGGGAAGAUUGCACAAGGGGCGGAAGCCUGAUGCAGCAACGCCGCGUGCGGGAUGACGGCCUUCGGGUUGUAAACCGCUUUCAGCAGGGGCGAAGCUUGUGGUGACGGUACCUGCAGAAGAAGCACCGGCUAACUACGUG
rnacentral:rRNA from 1 species